AUGCUUAACCUGACAGGGAUAUACCAUGAUUAAGAAAGUGAUCUUCUCAGGGGAAGGCUCUUCCAUUACACUUGGGAUUUGCUGAUCCCUGUGAUUUUCUUAAAUGAGGAAAAUGCCACUGCAGAUUCUGUGAUAAAAU
ensembl:snRNA LOC120098388 U1 spliceosomal RNA